rnacentral:rRNA from 1 species
GAUGAACGCUGGCGGCGUGCCUAAUACAUGCAAGUCGAGCGAACAGACGAGGAGCUUGCUCCUCUGACGUUAGCGGCGGACGGGUGAGUAACACGUGGAUAACCUACCUAUAAGACUGGGAUAACUUCGGGAAACCGGAGCUAAUACCGGAUAAUAUAUUGAACCGCAUGGUUCAAUAGUGAAAGACGGUUUUGCUGUCACUUAUAGAUGGAUCCGCGCCGCAUUAGCUAGUUGGUAAGGUAACGGCUUACCAAGGCAACGAUGCGUAGCCGACCUGGGAGGGUGAUCGGCCACACUGGAACGUGGACACGGUCCAGACUCCUACGGGAGGCAGCAGUAGGGAAUCUUCCGCAAUGGGCGAAAGCCUGACGGAGCAACGCCGCGUGAGUGAUGAAGGUCUUCGGAUCGUAAAACUCUGUUAUUAGGGAAGAACAAAUGUGUAAGUAACUAUGCACGUCUUGACGGUACCUAAUCAGAAAGCCACGGCUAACUACGUG